rnacentral:lncRNA from 1 species
GCCACAGCUCUUCGAUGCCUGCACAUCUCGCAUAGAACCAUGCUGUGCAUCACCACCGUUGGUACUGAAAACUGGCUCCAUCUCUGCACCUCUCAGCUCUAAACCUGUUCCAAACCAUCCUCCACCUAUGGAGGCACCUCUCGCUGGUGCUCCAACUGAAUGAUGACUUCUCCUGAUGGUCCUACAGAAGAUAAAAUCAAUUCUAAGGUCAGUUGCCCAACACUGCCCUACUGGACCUCCCGCUGAACCUCCACUAUCGCUGCUACCAUUUCAGACCUUCCGCACUCCAUGGACCCCUACAAAACUACCAGAGAACUUUCUUCACCUCUAAACCAAUUGUGAUACUAUGUAGAUCAGCCAUGUCCAUCAUCCCAAGGCUCCAUAAAUUCAUGCUCUAAUUG